UUUUUAUGUAAGUUUUAGCUUGAAUUUAAAUAAUUUAUUUGCAGUGAUUAAUUUUAAAAAUUUAAGAAAUUAAGAUUUAGGGUUUAUUAUUAGUUUUGGUUAAGUUUGUGCCAGCAACCGCGGUUAGACAAACAAAGCGAUUAAAUUAAUUUGGUUAGUAGUUAAUUAUUAUUAUUUAGUUAAAUUUUAUAUUUUAAGGUGGAAUUUUAAUAUAAAUGAUAUUCUAUUUUUUUUUGAUUCUAUGAAAUUUUAUUUAAACUAGGAUUAGAUACCCUAUUAUUAAAAAUGUAAAAUUUAUACCUGGUUAGUAUUAGUUAAGGUCUUGAAAACAAAAGAUUUUGGCGGUAUUUUAGUCUAUUCAGAGGAACCUGUCCUGUAAUUGAUAUUCCACGAUGAGCUCAACUUAACUUUGGUUUGUAUAUCGUCGUAGUUGAUUAUUUUAUAAGAAUAAUAAUAGUCUUAGUUCUUUAUAAGGAAAAAAAUCAGAUCAAGAUGCAGCUUAAUUAAGAAGAGAUGGGUUACAUUAAAGUUAUUUAUGGAUAAGUCUUUUAAAAUUUCUUUAAAAUUGGAUUUGAUAGUAAUUAUUUUUAUUUUAUAAUAAUGAUUUUAGCUCUAAAAUAUGCACAUAUCGCCCGUCACUUUCAUAAAAUAAAAUUGAAAUAAGUCGUAACAAAGUAGGUGUACUGGAAAGUGUACCUAGAAUUA
rnacentral:rRNA from 1 species